rnacentral:rRNA from 1 species
ACGAACGCUGGCGGCGUGCUUAACACAUGCAAGUCGAACGGUGAAGCGCCUUCCUUUUUGGUGGGUGUGGAUGAGUGGCGAACGGGUGAGUAACACGUGAGUAACCUGCCCCCUUCUUCUGGAUAACCUCAUGAAAGUGUGGCUAAUACGGGAUAUUCUGGGUCUGUCGCAUGAUGGGUCUGGGAAAGAUAUUGUUUCGGUGGGGGAUGGGCUCGCGGCCUAUCAGCUUGUUGGUGGGGUGAUGGCCUACCAAGGCGGUGACGGGUAGCCGGCCUGAGAGGGUGGACGGUCACACUGGGACUGAGACACGGCCCAGACUCCUACGGGAGGCAGCAGUGGGGAAUAUUGCACAAUGGGCGCAAGCCUGAUGCAGCGACGCCGCGUGAGGGAUGGAGGCCUUCGGGUUGUGAACCUCUUUCGCCAGUGAAGCAGGCCUGCCUCGUUUGUGGGUGGGUUGACGGUAGCUGGAUAAGAAGCGCCGGCUAACUACGUG